rnacentral:rRNA from 1 species
UGGGGAAUAUUGCACAAUGGACGGAAGUCUGAUGCAGCAACGCCGCGUGCGGGAUGACGGCCUUCGGGUUGUAAACCGCUUUUUCUCAUGACGAAGUUUUUUGACGGUAGUGGGGGAAGAAGCACCGGCUAACUACGUGCCAGCAGCCGCGGUGAUACGUAGGGUGCGAGCGGUGUCCGGAAUUAUUGGGCGUAAAGAGCUUGUAGGCGGUUUGUCGCGUCGAUAGUGCAAACUCAGUGCUUAACGCUGAGCCUGCUGUUGAUACGGGCAGACUAGAGGAAGGUAGGGGAGAAUGGAAUUCCCGGUGGAGCGGUGGAAUGCGCAGAUAUCGGGAGGAACACCGGUGGCGAAGGCGGUUCUCUGGGCCUUUCCUGACGCUGAGAAGCGAAAGCGUGGGGAGCGAACAGG